GUGGUAGCUGGAGCAAGGGAAAAGUCAAUGAAGGAUUACACAGGGGUCAACAUAUAACAAUCCUCCAAUCAUAUUGGAAAGUAUACCACAUUGUUUGUCUGCUCUUAAAGAUUCCAAAAAGGUAUAGUUCAGGCUAUCUAUGACUGAUUGUUCUCGAGUUGCGGGGCAAAAACAGCAAAAA